AUUACAUUCUAGAUACCCGUAUGUAAAAAUGUCUUUGCGACAGUCGUUAUGUAUGUGUGUUUACAUAUGAAACGAAAGUGGAAAUUCAUUUUAACCAAGUGGACAAUUGUUUUUUAAAGUUUAAAGAUCUACUGUUCGUUUUUAUUUGAUUCAAGUACAGUGGAUUUAAUACUUAGUAAAGAUCCUUGUCCAGUCAAUGUGAUCCUUGUCCAGUCAAUGUGAUCCUUGUCCAAGCAGUCAAUGUGAUCCUUGUCCAUGCAGUCAAUGUGAUCCUUGUCCAGUCAAGUUAUUAUAGUUCUGGCUGUCUAGUUUUAGCGAAGAAUCCAUCCUGAUGUUGGUAACAGGAAUUUCUGCAGAGUGAUUGUCAAUGACAUUUUGUGAACUUUACAAGUCUGGGAAAGUGCAAUAGAUGUUCUGGUGUUUGAUGGGAAAAGUCACACCCUGCUUGUAGAAUACAUUUGUACCUCAUAAAGGCUAUAAUGGGAAGAUGGAAUAGGAAACUUACUACAGCUGCUGGGAAGGGAGAUAUAGAAGCCUUAAAAUUAAGCCUACAGAAUGGUGCAGACAUUGAUUAUCGAGAUGUAAG